UGGCUCAGAUGGUAAAGCGUCUGCUUGCAAUGCAGGAGACCGGGGUUCGACCCCUG
rnacentral:tRNA from 1 species